GUAAAGCACUUUCAGUGGGGAGGAAAGGUUAGUAGUUAAUACCUGCUANCUGUGACGUUACCCACAGAAGAAGCACCGGCUAACUCCGUGCCAGCAGCCGCGGUAAUACGGAGGGUGCAAGCGUUAAUCGGAAUUACUGGGCGUAAAGCGCGCGUAGGCGGCUUAUUAAGUCGGAUGUGAAAGCCCUGGGCUUAACCUAGGAACUGCAUACGAUACUGGUAAGCUAGAGUACGAGAGAGGGUGGUAGAAUUUCUAGUGUAGCGGUGAAAUGCGUANAUAUUANAAGGAAUACCGGUGGCGAAGGCGGCCACCUGGCUCGAUACUGACGCUGAGGUGCGAAAGCNUGGGGAGCAAACAGGAUUAGAUACC
rnacentral:rRNA from 1 species